rnacentral:rRNA from 1 species
AAAGUUCCGCAAGGAAUUAGUAGAGUGGCAAACGGGUGAGUAACACGUGGGUGACCUGCCUUCGAGUGGGGGAUAACGUCCCGAAAGGGACGCUAAUACCGCAUAAUAUCCUGCCUUUUAAGAGGUGGAAAUCAAAGCCGGGGAUCGCAAGACCUGGCGCUUGAAGAGGGGCCCGCGUCCGAUUAGCUAGUUGGUGAGGUAAUGGCUCACCAAGGCGACGAUCGGUAGCCGGCCUAAGAGGGCGGACGGCCACACUGGGACUGAGACACGGCCCAGACUCCUACGGGAGGCAGCAGUGGGGAAUUGUUCGCAAUGGGCGCAAGCCUGACGACGCAACGCCGCGUGGAGGAUGAAGACCUUCGGGUCGUAAACUCCUUUCGAUCGAGACGAAUGGCCUUCGGGUUAAUAACCUGGGGGAAUGACGGUACCGAGAGAAGAAGCCCCGGCUAACUCCGUGCCAGCAGCCGCGGUAAUACGGGGGGGGCAAGCGUUGUUCGGAAUUACUGGGCGUAAAGGGCUCGUAGGCGGCCAACUAAGUCAGACGUGAAAUCCCUCGGCUUAACCGGGGUACUGCGUCUGAUACUGGAUGGCUUGAAUCCGGGAGAGGGAUGCGGAAUUCCAGGUGUAGCGGUGAAAUGCGUAGAUAUCUGGAGGAACACCGGUGGCGAAGGCGGCAUCCUGGACCGGCAUUGACGCUGAGGAGCGAAAGCCAGGGGAGCAAACGGGAUUAGAUACCCCGGUAGUCCUGGCCCUAAACGAUGAAUGCUUGGUGUGGCGGGUAUCGAUCCCUGCCGUGCCGAAGCUAACGCA